rnacentral:lncRNA from 1 species
AACUGUGCGGCACUGUGCCACGGGACCCUGGUCUUUGAAACCUUGGCGUGCGCGAGAAUUUCCCAGUGAGUUUGUUAAAAUGCAGAUUCCUCGGGUCUGCGUAGACAGACUGUGCCCCACGCUUUUCUAAGUCAGUUGUUUCUCGGGCUACCCUUUAAGAGACACUGCUGGAUGGCCUGGUGAAGAAAAUACAGAAACAGAUGGGUACAAGAACUAAGAAAACGGCUAAGAAAGUGUUUUGGUCCUGACUACUACCAUUUCGCUCUGUGAUUUGGGGCAAUUCACAUUGCCCUUUCUUCUUUGUCAAAAGACAAAAUCACAACAAACUUAGUUCAAAGAUUUUUUUUUUCUUAAGAGACGGACUCUGGCAAUGUUGCCCAGGCUGGAAGGCAGUGGCUAUUCACAGGUGCGGUCAUAGCAAUCAUGGCUAUCACAGGUGCAUCCUGGAACUCCUGGCCUCAAGUGAUCCUUCUGCCUCAGCCUCCGGAGUAGCUGGGACUUAAGGUAUGACAGAGCCAAAACUCCAAGUCAUGUCAGUAGGGCAUGCCCAAUAGAAAAUGCUUUGACAUCUAACAACACCCAGAACCAAUGAUUCCUCCCUGUGGUACCAAGAAGACCUAGACAUGAUCGGAACCUAAAUGCUGGAACUCUUUCAGGAGCAAAGGGUCUGUUGACCAGAAAGAUCCAGGGGUAAAAUCCACCUCAACAUACCCGUGUAGUCAAAUUUGACACCCUCCAAUCAGACCCUGCCAAGCCAAAAUUCCUAAUACGUUUCCUUGCCAUCUGUAUUAGUCUGUUUUCACGCUGCUGACAAAGACAU